rnacentral:rRNA from 1 species
CCCUUAGAUGUCCUGGGCUGCACGCGCGCUACACUGAUGUGUCCAGUAAGCACCUAACCUCUUCCGAAAGGAACGGGUAACCUUUGCAAAGCACAUCGUGAUGGGGAUAGAUUAUUGCAAUUAUUAGUCUUGAACGAGGAAUUCCUAGUAAGCACAAGUCAUCAGCUUGUGUUGAUUACGUCCCUGCCCUUUGUACACACCGCCCGUCGCUCCUACCGAUUGAAUGUUCCGGUGAGCUCUUCGGACUGCGCGGUCUGCAGUUUCUGCGUUCCGUGCGGAAAGUUGCGUAAACCUUAACAUUUAGAGGAAGGAGAAGUCGUAACA